CAGUAGCCACGGUAAUACAGAGGAUGCAAGCGUUAUCCGGAAUGAUUGGGCGUAAAGCGAGCGCAGGCGGUUAGAUAAGUUUGAAGUUAAAGGCUGUGGCUUAACCAUAGUACGCUUUGGAAACUGUUAACUUGAGUGCAAGAGGGGAGAGUGGAAUUCCAUGUGUAGCGGUGAAAUGCGUAGAUAUAUGGAGGAACACCGGUGGCGAAAGCGGCUCUCUGGCUUAUAACUGACGCUGAGGCUCGAAAGCGUGGGGAGCAAACAGGAUUAGAUACCCGCGUAGUCCCUGUCUCUUAUAACA
rnacentral:rRNA from 1 species